rnacentral:misc_RNA from 1 species
UAAUAAGUGUUUUAUGGCACUUUUUAAAUCCAUAUCCACCUUGUGUGCAAUGUCCGAGUCGAUCUUCUUCUUUGAGGAUCGACCAAACAUCAACCUUUAUCUUUUAACUCUUUGUCUGAAAAUAUUAUGAAUAAACAAUUCAAAAUA